rnacentral:tRNA from 1 species
UUAAUUGAAACCAAAAUUUAGGUAUAUCACUGUUAAUGAUAAUAUUGAGAAAUUCUUCUCCAAUUAAA